UUGAGUUGAGUUGUUUGAAGAGUAGCUUGGGAGGUAUUAAGGGCUCACCAUGGUUAAGGUAUGUUAAGGCACUUCCCUCUUUCUUUUGGCAUGAUCUAAAGUGAAAUGAAUACGCUAUUUCAUAACGGAUUUACUCCUAGAAACUAAGGUUGCCCAUGUUGUUCUUUCCUUAUAAAGUUAUUUUAAGCAAGUAUGUAUGAUCCUUGAAUCCUAUAGAAGCUCAUAUUGAUGGUAUGAUGUCUAUAAUGUUAAUCGAAGGUGCAACGACCUUAAGUCACUCCAAAAGGUUUAGAACGUGAUUUCAUGAGUCUAACAUGCAUUAUAUAUAUCAUCUACUUUACUCUACCGAGCCGCGCUAUAGUAGGCCGGGUACAAUACCUUAUUGUGCAACCACUGAUCAGUUGGGUUUACCGAGCUCCACGUGGCCGUGUACGAUUCUACCGAGCCUUAUGAUGGUCGGGUACGUUUUUACCGAGUCUUCUUUUAGGCCGAGUACGAUAUGAUGAUGAUAAUGCCCACAGAGGCGUAUGUUUUUAAAAGUUUAUGUAUAUAUAUGUAUUAUGCAUUUCAUGUCAGUAUCCCACAGAGGCACUCAGAUGUUACAGGUUGUAUCUCCUCUAUCUCUCUUUACAUUAAUGUUCUUGUUUAUGCUUUCCUGCCUUACAUACUCGGUACUUUAUUUGUACUGACGUCCCUUUUGCCUGUGGACGCUGUGUUUCAUGCCCGUAGGUCUCGAUUGAUAGGUUGACAAUCUUCCUAGUAAGCUAUCAGCUCAGCGGAGGUGUUGGUGCACUCCACUUGCUCCAGAGUUGUCUAUUUGGUCAGUAUGCUUUGGAUAUGUAUUGAUUGGUAUGACGGGCCCUGUCCCGACCUUUAUGAUUUUAUGUACUCUUAGAGGCUUGUAGACAGAUGUCAGGUUUAUGGAUACUUGUAUGGCCUUGUUGGCCUAUGUGUUGAGUUUACAAAUGGUCAUGUCGGCCUUAUAGGCCCGUAUGUCACAUGUGUAAGUUUUUGUAUCAUGUUGGGUCGUCAUAUGUUGAGUAUUCCCUUACGUUUUAUUCU
rnacentral:lncRNA from 1 species